GAAUAAAGAAAAGUAACGGUGUC
rnacentral:piRNA from 1 species